rnacentral:rRNA from 1 species
AACGAACGCUGGCGGCAGGCUUAACACAUGCAAGUCGAACGCCCCGCAAGGGGAGUGGCAGACGGGUGAGUAACGCGUGGGAACAUACCCUUUCCUGCGGAAUAGCUCUGGGAAACUGGAAUUAAUACCGCAUACGCCCUACGGGGGAAAGAUUUAUCGGGGAAGGAUUGGCCCGCGUUGGAUUAGCUAGUUGGUGGGGUAAAGGCCUACCAAGGCGACGAUCCAUAGCUGGUCUGAGAGGAUGAUCAGCCACAUUGGGACUGAGACACGGCCCAAACUCCUACGGGAGGCAGCAGUGGGGAAUAUUGGACAAUGGGCGCAAGCCUGAUCCAGCCAUGCCGCGUGAGUGAUGAAGGCCUUAGGGUUGUAAAGCUCUUUCACCGAUGAAGAUAAUGACGGUAGUCGGAGAAGAAGCCCCGGCUAACUUCGUGCCAGCCGCCGCCGUAAAAC